ACCAUCAAUCCCUAAUUUUUAAGCGACGCCUAUGAAAUAUUAGGUAAUGCCUAACAGGAAUUUCGUUUUCACCAACACAUAAGGGACACCUUGGACCUUAAGAGAUCACUUUAAAACAGGGGCCGGAUUUCCGGCCCCCUAGUGUUAGAUGACAGUUUUAAUGUCAAUUACGCGGCAAACGGCAAAUUGGAAACUUCGGAAAUGUCUGAAAUAAAUGAUUUUUUUGAAGCUAUUGAAGCUAUCGAAACCGUGGAAACACUUUUUCAAUCAAAUUUAUUAAGCCGACCACGUAUGUUUCGAGAAAGACCCGAUUUUUUCUCAAAAUACGACGAAAAAGAUUUUUUUACUAGAUAUCGGCUUUCAAAACAGAGUGUUUUAUUUGUAUUGGCAAAAAUUGAACAUCUGUUAGAGUAUCCAACUAACAGAAAUAAAUCCGUAUCACCAAUUUGCCAACUAUUGUGUGCAUUAAGAUUCUAUGCCACUGGGAACCAUUUAAUUGCAGUGGCAGACAUGGGUGGCAUAAGUGUUGCGACAUGUAGUAGGAUAGUGAAAAGAGUCUCUGAAGCCAUAGUUACAUUACGUCAUGAAUUUAUCAAGCUUCCUAAUACACACGAAGAACAAGCCUAUGUGAAAGAAAAAUUUUAUAGGAUUGCUCGCUUUCCUAAUGUGAUAGGCUGUAUAGACUGUACACAUAUAAAGAUACAAUCACCAGGUGGAGAUGAUGCUGAGUUAUUUCGCAACCGGAAAUCAUACAUGUCAAUCAAUGUUCAAACUAUAAGUGACCCUGAUCUAUUGGUAACAGAUAUUGUAGCUCGUUGGCCAGGAUCAACGCAUGAUUCAACAAUUUAUCAGACUAGUAAUAUAUUCAGGAAAUUCGAAAGGGGUAUUUAUAGUGGGGCAUAUUUAUUAGGAGACAGUGGAUAUCCUCUGAAGAGCCACCUUCUUACCCCUUAUUUAAACCCAUCAACUCCAGCACAACAAAAAUACAAUGAGGCUCAAAUAAAAACUAGAAAUGUGGUAGAAAGACAGUAUGGAGUUCUAAAACGAAGAUUUCCAGUCUUAGCAGUUGGUAUACGACUAAAACUACCCACCGCCGUCAAUGUCAUCAUAGCAUGCUGUAUUUUGCACAAUAUAUGCAUCCUACGGAAAGAACAAGAACCUUUAAACGAUGGAUCUAUUCCUAACUUAGAAUCCCUCAUUGAAGCUGGAAGAAUUCCCCUUAUACCAGUGACAGUCAAUGACCCCAUAUAUGGGUUUCAAAGAAACCAAAUAACUAAUUACUUUGAAAAUAUGUAACGUUUUAAUAUAAAUUAAAUUACCUCUUAUUUGUGCUAAA